rnacentral:rRNA from 1 species
GACGAACGCUGGCGGCGUGCUUAACACAUGCAAGUCGAACGGGUCUGCCCUGUUUUUUGCGGGGUGGGUCGGUGGCGAACGGGUGAGUAACACGUGAGUAACCUGCCCCUCACUUCUGGAUAACCGCUUGAAAGGGUGGCUAAUACGGGGUGUUCUGGCUGUGCCGCAUGGUGUGGCUGGGAAAGAUUCACUUUUGUGGUGUUUUGGUGGGGGAUGGGCUCGCGGCCUAUCAGCUUGUUGGUGGGGUGAUGGCCUGCCAAGGCUUUGACGGGUAGCCGGCCUGAGAGGGUGGGCGGUCACACUGGGACUGAGCUACGGCCCAGACUCCUGCGGGAGGCAGCAGGGGGGGGUAUUGCACAAUGGGCGGAAGCCUGAUGCAGCGACGUCGCGUGAGGGAUGGAGGCCUUCGGGUUGUGAACCUCUUUCGCCGGUGAAGAAGGUCCUGCUCUUUGUGGUGGGGUUGACGGUAGCCGGGUUAUGAAGCGCCGGCUAACUACGUG